GCAACAUCCAGGGACUGGAGAGAACAGAAACUACCUUGGCUCCAACUCAAUGUUGUCAUGUGGUAACAGACCACAAACCUAAGCCACUUCCGGCUUGUUGUUUAACUCUUGGCCCACGUGUGUUUUGUUUCUGUUUUAUUGGCUCUUCAGUGGAACUGCAAAAAGACUCGUGGCCUCCUUUCAUCCAGCCAGGGAAAACCAGCGACCAUCUCUCUUUCCACAACCUUCUUGAAGCAUUGAAGACCAGAGUACUGUUUGGCAGGACCAACACGGAUUUUACCACCAGGGAUAUCUUCAAGGAACUCUACCCGAUUUGUUAAACAUGACCUCCUCUGCCUGGGUCCUUGCAGCCUUCCUUCAAUAAAGUGGGCUUUUCCAGGUGUUCUCCAACCACAUCUUUUAAGAAUGUUUCCAAGAACUCCUCUACUGCACCCCUUCUAUCCCUAAAUGAACCAGAUGUUACCCACGCUGAUCUCCUAUCUCCCUGCUUGUCUUAAGAGGGAUCUUGAAAGAAAUAUGAAGGAUGGAUCUGGCUAUUUUCAAAUCCUUGCAAAUUACUUCCAAAUAAAUGAACUUCAGUUACUGACUCUUUA
rnacentral:lncRNA from 1 species